rnacentral:rRNA from 1 species
AGAGCGAACGCUGGCGGCAGGCCUAAAACAUGCAAGUCGAACGAACCCUUCGGGGUUAGUGGCGGACGGGUGAGUAACACGUGGGAACGUGCCCUUUGGUUCAGAACAACUCAGGGAAACUUGAGCUAAUACUGAAUAAGCCCUACGGGGGAAAGAUUUAUUGCCAUUGGAGCGGCCCGCGUUGGAUUAGCUAGUUGGUGAGGUAAAGGCUCACCAAGGCUACGAUCCAUAGCUGGUCUGAGAGGAUGAUCAGCCACACUGGGACUGAGACACGGCCCAGACUCCUACGGGAGGCAGCAGUUAGGAAUCUUGCGCAAUGGGCAAAGCCUGACGCAGCCAUGCCGCGUGAAUGAUGAAGGUCUUAGGAUUGUAAAAUUCUUUCAGUGGGAAGAUAAUGACUGUACCACAGAAGAAGCUCGGCUAACUCGUGCCAGCAGCCGC